AGAGUUUGAUCCUGGCUCAGAACGAACGCUGGCGGCAGGCCUAACACAUGCAAGUCGAGCGAGGACUUCGGUUCUAGCGGCGGACGGGUUAGUAACGCGUGGGAACGUACCCUUUUCUACGGAAUAGCCUCGGGAAACUGAGAGUAAUACCGUAUACGCCCUUUGGGGGAAAGAUUUAUCGGAGAAGGAUCGGCCCGCGUUAGAUUAGAUAGUUGGUGGGGUAAUGGCCUACCAAGUCUACGAUCUAUAACUGGUUUGAGAGGAUGAUCAGCAACACUGGGACUGAGACACGGCCCAGACUCCUACGGGAGGCAGCAGUGGGGAAUCUUAGACAAUGGGCGCAAGCCUGAUCUAGCCAUGCCGCGUGAGUGAAGAAGGCCUUAGGGUCGUAAAGCUCUUUCGCCUGUGAAGAUAAUGACUGUAGCAGGUAAAGAAACCCCGGCUAACUCCGUGCCAGCAGCCGCGGUAAUACGGAGGGGGUUAGCGUUGUUCGGAAUUACUGGGCGUAAAGCGCGCGUAGGCGGACAUUUAAGUCAGAGGUGAAAUCCCAGGGCUCAACCCUGGAACUGCCUUUGAUACUGGGUGUCUUGAGUUCGAGAGAGGUGAGUGGAAUUCCGAGUGUAGAGGUGAAAUUCGUAGAUAUUCGGAGGAACACCAGUGGCGAAGGCGGCUCACUGGCUCGAUACUGACGCCGAGGUGCGAAAGUGUGGGGAGCAAACAGGAUUAGAUACCCUGGUAGUCCACACCGUAAACGAUGAAUGCCAGUCGUCGGGCAGUAUACUGUUCGGUGACACACCGAACGGAUUAAGCAUUCCGCCUGGGGAGUACGGUCGCAAGAUUAAAACACAAAGGAAUUGACGGGGGCCCGCACAAGCGGUGGAGCAUGUGGUUUAAUUCGAAGCAACGCGCAGAACCUUACCAACCCUUGACAUCCUUGGACCGCCAGAGAGAUCUGGUUUUCUCGUAAGAGACCAAGUGACAGGUGCUGCAUGGCUGUCGCCAGCUCGUGUCGUGAGAUGUUCGGUUAAGUCCGGCAACGAGCGCAACCCACAUCUUCAGUUGCCAGCAGUUCGGCUGGGCACUCUGGAGAAACUGCCCGUGAUAAGCGGGAGGAAGGUGUGGAUGGCGUCAAGUCCUCAUGGCCCUUACGGGUUGGGCUACACACGUGCUACAAUGGUAGUGACAAUGGGUUAAUCCCAAAAAGCUAUCUCAGUUCGGAUUGGGGUCUGCAACUCGACCCCAUGAAGUCGGAAUCGCUAGUAAUCGCGUAACAGCAUGACGCGGUGAAUACGUUCCCGGGCCUUGUACACACCGCCCGUCACACCAUGGGAGUUGGGUUUACCCGAAGGUCGUGCGCCAACCUUUCGAGGGGGCAGCGGACCACGGUGAGCUCAGCGACUGGGGUGAAGUCGUAACGAGGUA
rnacentral:rRNA from 1 species